rnacentral:rRNA from 1 species
AGUCGAACGGCAGCACGGACUUCGGUCUGGCGAGUGGCGAACGGGUGAGUAAUGUAUCGGAACGCCUAUAGCGGGGAUAACUACGCGAAAGCGUAGCUAAUACCGCAUACGCCCUUCGGGGAAAGCGGGGACCUUCGGGCCUCGCACUAUUAGAGCGGCCGAUAUCGGAUUAGCUAGUUGGUGGGGUAACGGCUCACCAAGGCGACGAUCCGUAGCUAGUUUGAGAGGACGACCAGCCACACUGACUGGAGAUGGCCCAGAUCUACGGGAGUGGCAGUGGGGAAUUUGACAAUGGGGAACCCUGAUCCAGCCAUCCCGCGCGUGCGAUGAAGGCCUUCAGUUGUAAAGCACUUUUGGCAGGAAAGAAACGGCACGGAUAAUACCCGUGCACCCGACGGUGCCUGCAGAAUAAGCACCGGCUAACUACGUGCCAGCAGCCGCGCACAAUGUGUGGGUGCGCGGCGUUAACGGAAUUACUGGGCGGGAAGCGUGCGUGCAGGCGGUUCGGAAAGAAAGACGUGAAAUCCCAGAGCUUAACUUUGGAACUGCAUUUUUAAUCACGAGCUAGAGUGUGUCAGAGGGAGGUGGGAAUUCCGUGUAGCAGUGAAAUGCGUAGAUAUGCGGAGGAACACCGAUGGCGAAGGCAGCUUCCUGGGGAUAACACUGACGUUCAUGUAAUGAAAGUGGGAGCAAACAGAUUAGAUACCUCCUGGUAGUCCACGCCCUAAACGAUGUCAACUAGGCUGUUGGGGCCUUUCGGGCCUGGUAGCGCAGCUAACGUGAAGUUGACCGCCUGGGGAGUACGGUCGCAAGACAAACCCAAAGGAAUUGACGGGGACCGCAAGCGGUGGAUGAUAUGGGAUUAAUUGAUGCAACGCGAAAACCUUACCUACCCUGACAUGUCUGGAAUCCCGAAGAGAUUUGGGAGUGCUCGCAAGAGAACUGGAACGAGAAGCGGCGCUGUCGUCAGCUCGUGUCGUGAGAUUAAGUCCUCAGCAACGAGCGUAACCCUUUGUCAUUAGUUGCUACGAAAGGGCACUUAAUGAGACUGCCGGUGACAAACCGGAGGAAGGUGGGGAUGACGUCAAGUCCUCAUUCUUAUGGGUAGGGCUUCACACGUCAUACAAUGGUCGUAACAGGGUCGCCAACCCGCGAGGGGAGCCAAUCCCAGAAACCCGAUCGUAGUCCGGAUCGCGUCUGCAAACUCGACUGCGUGAAGUCGGAAUCAUAGUAAUCGCGGAUCAUGUCGCGGUGAAUACGUUCCCGGGUCUUGCACACACUGCCCGUCACACUAUGGGAGUGGGUUUUACCAGAAGUAGUUAGCCUAACCGUAAGGAGGGCGAUUACCACGGUGUGAUUCAUGACUGGGGUGAAGUCGUAACAAGGUAA